GACGUAGGGCGCGAGCGUUGUCCGGAUUUAUUGGGCGUAAAGAGCUCGUAGGCGGCUUGUUGCGUCGACUGUGAAAACCCGCGGCUUAACUGCGGGCUUGCAGUUGAUACGGGCAGGCUAGAGUUCGGUAGGGGAGACUGGAAUUCCUGGUGUAGCGGUGAGAUGCGCAGAUAUCAGGAGGAACACCGGUGGCGAAGGCGGGACUCUGGGCCGAUACUGACGCUGAGGAGCGAAAGCGUGGGGAGCAAACAGG
rnacentral:rRNA from 1 species